UCAAUAUUGAGCUAAGAAAGGAAGAAUAAAAGUAAUUUGUAUAAUCACACUUCAAAAUUUAGCUAAAAAAGAAAAUCUCACGAAGAAUUAUAACAUAAUGAAAUUAUCUACUUAAUAUUUUGUAUGAUCAUACUUCAAAUCUGUUGGAAAAUCGAAUCUAUUAAUACUGAGUUAAGAGAGGAAGAAAAGAGGAUGCAAGGC
rnacentral:lncRNA from 1 species